rnacentral:rRNA from 1 species
GACGUAGGGGACGAGCGUUGUCCGGAUUCAUUGGGCGUAAAGCGCGCGUAGGCGGUUACGCAAGUCGGUUGUGAAAAUCCGGGGCUCAACCCCGGACCUGCAUCCGAUACUGCGUGACUAGAGGUAGGUAGGGGAGAUCGGAAUUCCUGGUGUAGCGGUGAAAUGCGCAGAUAUCAGGAGGAACACCGGUGGCGAAGGCGGAUCUCUGGGCCUGUUCUUGACGCUGAGGCGCGAAAGCUAGGGGAGCAAACGGG